rnacentral:tRNA from 1 species
CUGGGUGUAGCGCAGUUGGUAGCGCGCGCGGUUCGGGACUGCGAGGCCGCCAGUUCGAAUCUGGUCACCCAGACCA